GGUGGCUCAGUGGUAGAGUGCUUGCCUUCCAAGCAUGAGGCCCUGGGUUCAAUUCCUCAGCACCA
rnacentral:tRNA from 1 species